GCAAAGUGGAAAAUACAAGAGAUGCAAGGAGAUAUUAAAAGCCGUAAAGGAAAAUCAAUAUAAGAAAAAAGAUCGUGGUCAUGAGCUUCGCAGCGGGGACGGAAGUUCCGUCCACUCAACUCUGAUACGGAUUCCGCUGGGAUGAGGAUAUGUUAUUUAUGAAACAUACCAGAGGCAUGCGGGUGUUACUUGUAAGUACCCAAUGAUAUGAUUUAGAGUGAUCUGAUCGUGUGUGUGUGUGUGUGUGUGUGUGUGUGUGUGGAAUUACCCCAGAGAGCAUAUAUAUGUCACUAGAACAAUUACAAAA
rnacentral:sRNA from 1 species